rnacentral:sRNA from 1 species
GCCGAGGGGCGACGCGCGGGGGUUUUGGGCCCGAGCCUUGCUGGGCACUGAUGCGAGGCGUGCGCCUAGGGUGGGGCUCCCUCCGGAGGGUGAAGCGUACCUGAGACAGAUACGUCCUGUGCAGAAGAGCCAUGUGGAUGGGAGGCAGGCCUGGUCCAGGGGCCACUGGGGUUCGUGGGCAGAGCCGUGUGGCUCUGGGAUUGUGGACUAUGUGCACUUGAUCCCAGUAUCAACCAUCCACGCGACGACCCUUUCAAGUGUACAUGGCACUGGUUUGCAGGGGUGAGGCUGAGGGAAGCUGCAGGUACCCGGUGCUGAACAGGUUAGACUCGCCUCUGGCUCCUUACAACUCACUUCUCUGGUCAAGAAGGCAGACGUCAACUGCAGAGAAAGAAUGGAAAAGCGGUAACGGGUCUCGAGCCCCAGGCUCAAUUCCCGGAACCCGUGUUGGAUGGCUCACAGCUGCCUGUAACUUCAGGUACAGGGGAUUUGACUCCUUACUCUGGCCUCUGUGAGUGUGUGUGUGUGUGUGUGUGUGUGUGUGUGUGUGUGUGUACGUGUGUGUACACACAGAAAAAUAGAAUGUUUAAAAAAAGAAUUUAGCACGAUCAUACUGUAUUUGGUAUGUGUGGAAGCAAUUUUAAAAAUAAGGAAUUUGGGGUUAGACUGAGUAACCUUGUCUUUACCACGCAGUAGCUUUGUGAUCGUGCAUUUGGUACUUGUUAUGGGGAUUAUUGUUGAAUUGAGAGUGGUUGUUUUGUAUACUGUUCAGCUUGUGUUAAAUGCUUGUUUCCUAAAAUAGUUGGUUUGUUUUUUUUUUUUUUGGACAGGGUCUGGAUGGAACUCACUAUGUAGAGCAGACUAACCUCGAACCCAUGGAGAACCAUCUUCCUCUGCCUCUCAGAGCCAUGUUACAAGGCCUGCACUAUCAUGUCUGACUCCUUUGUCUCAUAUUUCUCAGAUUCUGAUAUUGCUGUGAACCUUGGCAUUCUAUGUGAUUUCAGCUCUUUAAAAAAUUUAUUUAUGUGUGGGAGGGGGCUUGGUGGUCUAUGUACAUCUAUGUAUGCAGUUGUGUGCAUCCCUUGUGUGGAGGACAGAGGUGGACACUGGGUAUCUCCUAUGGCUCCCCACUUUGCCUGUCUCUGCACCCCUACCCUCCACCCUGUGCCGGGGUCACAGACACAGCCUCAGCUUUCAUACAGGGGCUGGUCUGAACUCUGUCUUCAUAUUUGCGAAGUCACUUUCCCCUCUGAGCCAUUCUCCAGUCCCAUGAUUAGAACUGGAGUCCUGUAAUAAACUUUGGAAUCUGC